GAUCAUCAAGGACGGAUGGGCAGACUAUGAAGGAGAAGUUGUAAGGUCAGAGGACGUAGAGUUUAAACAGAAUUAUCCAGAGGAGAUUGAAGCACCGAGUCAGGUAUGGAAAAUGAAGAUAACUAUACAAGAAGAGGAGGCGCUGCCGGAAGUACAGACUACGCCACCCAACGAACCUCAGGACGAUUGAGAAAAUGGAGAGUCCCGUUCGGAGGACUUAAAAACACCGAACGCCUUGCCAAGAGGUAAACUUGGUAGUUAUCCUUUCCCUUUCAAUUAUUUUAAAUAGUUUACUUAGUUAAUCAUAUUCAUACUAUCUUAAAAAUAAAAGAAAAUAAAAUUGUGAAAAACAGUAAGCCCCAUGUGAGUAGACGAGUGGCAUAAAACCCAUAAGUACAUUCACUGUGGUGGCAUACAAAUAAAAUAAUUAUUUUUCUGCUCUAUAAAAAUAAAAAUAUAAAAACAGGGAGUAAUAUUUACUAAGGAGUCUCAAGAUGAUAAAGGUUAGAUAUUUAUGCUAACACUUAAUCAGUUCCACAAGCUUUGUUGUCUAUUUGAGCUCCACAGAAUUUAAGAAUCAAGAAGAC
rnacentral:lncRNA from 1 species